GUUGAAAUAUAACUGUGACCAGCCUAUCUUAUACGGUAAUGAAAUCUGUCACAACUUGAACAUCAAAAGUGGUCACAGGCUAUAAAGGAACGGUGUUUGCGGGAGCAGUAGGGACGAGAAAUGUCAGACACUCGAGGCUGUGUCUUUGAGACGCUGUAGUCAAGAGGAUCAGAAAGGAGAGGAAGGAAGAGAUUGUCUUGCUGACAGCUGCCCGAGGAUAGGAGCGGAGGACAAGUAAGAUAUUGCUUCCUUUGUAAUGAAUCCAAGAUGUACCUCCCUGGCCUGACAUUUGCUGAGUAAACUGUACUUUUCCUAAGCGGCGCUUCUAAGAAAGAGGAGCUACAGGAAGAUGCCUGGAGCCUGUCAUAGUUGGGAUGUUUGGUCAAAGGGGCACGGACUGUGGAGACCUUUCUCACAAGAGAUGGCACCUGCAGAACUGAAGUCUGGCAAACACUUAGGACCUGGAUGAUCAACUGUUUUUCCACUUCUUCGUCUUCUAAUUUUUUAUGAGAUUUGAGCAUAAUGGAAGCCAAAUCAGAAAGAGGGAUGUCUAUCAGCUUUCGUGAAAGCCAGUACAGCUAAGUAGGAGUAAUUUGUGCCAAGCCUGUAUUUAUGCUGGAAAGUACUGAACACACACAGUAGUGGUAAGAAAAUGGAGGGAGGGAGACUGGAAAAUGCAAGUAACAGUACAAAGCCACAGCCAGCAGAGCGCAGCAUCACACUAGAUGGACGGUGUGUGGACGCAGUGGUGGUGAACUAUAUUCUCUCUGAUUAAAUAGUAGGUAUCAGGUGCAAACAAGCAAAUCUCCCAGGAAAAGAAUACUUUUCCAUGUAUGCAUUUUGAAUAAUACUUAUAUACUCCUAAGUGAUAAACUAUUUUUCAACAUCAAUGUUUUGAGCACAGAAAGUAGGAGAAAGAAUCUGGGAUUUACUGAGCAAGGGAAAGGGAAGUGGAAGUAAGAGCCUGGAAGAUCCAAGCCAGAUGUAGUAGGUUGACUGGUAGUCUGGUGAUAAGAAAUCAGAUGAACUAUUGAUAUUGAAAUCAAAUGAACUCUCAGGGCAGAAAAUGAAAUAAGCGGUAGUACAAACAAAGAGAAUGGGAUUAGUACCUGGAGC
ensembl:lncRNA